GGAGGGUGCAAACGUUGCUCGGAAUCAUUGGGCGUAAAGCGCACGUAGGCGGCCUGUUAAGUCGGAUGUGAAAGCCCAAGGCUCAACCUUGGAAGUGCAUUCGAAACUGGCGAGCUUGAAUAUGGACGAGGGUCGCGGAAUUCCCGGUGUAGAGGUGAAAUUCGUAGAUAUCGGGAGGAACACCAGUGGCGAAGGCGGCGACCUGGGCCAAUAUUGACGCUAAGGUGCGAAAGCGUGGGGAGCAAACAGGAUUAGAUACCCUGGUAGUCCACGCCGUAAACGAUGGAUGCUAGAUGUGGUGGGUAUUGACCCCUGCCGCGUCGCAGCUAACGCAGUAAGCAUCCCGCCUGGGGAGUACGGCCGCAAGGCUA
rnacentral:rRNA from 1 species